UACGUAGGGGGCAAGCGUUGUUCGGAUUCAUUGGGCGUAAAGGGCGCGUAGGCGGCGGGGUAAGUCGGGUGUGAAAUCUCAGAGCUCAACUCUGAAACUGCACUCGAUACUGCUCUGCUUGAGGACUGGAGAGGAGACUGGAAUUCACGGUGUAGCAGUGAAAUGCGUAGAUAUCGUGAGGAAGACCAGUGGCGAAGGCGGGUCUCUGGACAGUUCCUGACGCUGAGGCGCGAAGGCCAGGGGAGCAAACGGG
rnacentral:rRNA from 1 species